UACGGAGGGUGCAAGCGUUAUCCGGAAUCAUUGGGUUUAAAGGGUCCGCAGGCGGUUUUAUAAGUCAGUGGUGAAAGCCUACAGCUCAACUGUAGAACUGCCAUUGAUACUGUAAGACUUGAAUUCGAUCGAAGUGGGCGGAAUAUGACAUGUAGCGGUGAAAUGCUUAGAUAUGUCAUAGAACACCGAUAGCGAAGGCAGCUCACUAGGUCUGGAUUGACGCUCAGGGACGAAAGCGUGGGGAGCAAACAGG
rnacentral:rRNA from 1 species